CAUCCAGAAGAUUUCAGAAAAUAGAAUGUAUUUGUUGAUGGAAGGACUGUUGAGGAAGGAGCGACUGGAAAAAACUUUUUAGCAAGCCACGAGCUUGGAGGAACACUCUGUCCAUUGCAGCGCAUCAGAAUGGCAAGUUGGAAAAAAGGAACUAAGGAAUGGUUGGCACUUGCUGUUUCUCUUUUAAGGAGUUCUCUACUUGCCAAGUGUACCUGCUUUGGACUUCUCAUGCCUAGGCUCCCCUGGCCAUGACCCAGUAAGAAGCACAGAGGUGAGCAAAAUCAUCUCAGUGGGAUCCAUCUAAAGGUGGGAGUAUGUGAAGUCUGGACACACAAAGACCUGACAGAAAUAAAGCCAAGACCCCCUUCAGUUCUUUUUUAGCCACUUGGAAAUCAUUACUCUGAACAAAGGAACUCCACCAAAAGACUCCUUAACAGUCCAAAGAGAAGAAAGAGGGCAGAAGGUUAUGGUCAGGGUGGACAAGACCAGACCCCAAGUGGAUCUGAAGCCCACCAGCACAGCCAAGGUGUUUCCCAUUGCUCACUGCCUUCUCUGCACUCUGCCUCCAGCACCAGCGGCACAGGGGCCUCCUAAAGAGUCACCAAGUCCAUUUAUACUUUAUGAAUCAACUGGCAUCAGUCCUGAGACCCUUACUAAAAACAGCUGCACCUAAGCAAGGUGUGUUUCCAACACCAGAAAGAGGCUUAAAAAAGUUGACACGAGAAAACAAGGGCUGCACUUCCCAACUCUGAGCCCAGGGUAUCGUGGCCCCUGCCAAUACUGGACCCACCCACACCCCGUUGCUCCAGGCACCAGAGAACAGACCUGUCGGCUCCCACCCGGAUCAGUUCCUUACUGUGCUGGCUUCAGUGUCACUUGGUUCAGAUUCAGACACCUGACCAGGAUAUGCAUCUACUGGCACCAUGGGUAUACGCCUCAUCCCCACUGGGCUCUUGAAGGGACUCACACUGUGAAGCAGCUUCCAAAAAAUGACUUGAAAACCUGGGCAGAGAGUGGCAAGUAUUUUCUAUAGUACAAGUGCUCUUUAAGGUUCUUUUCCUCUCUAUUUACCAUGUGUAUGUACACAUAUGUAUUUUACAUACAGUAGCAAUGCACUUUGUUUUUAAAGAUACAACUUGCAUUUUUCAGGUAUUUUUAAGUCUUUCCAUACGUCAUUCAAAAUCCGUGAAACUUUCAAAGGAUAAAGGAGAAACAGUCAAAGGAGCAGCUGAGAGGCCAAUGUUGCGGUUUUCUUGACUUCAGCUUCUAUUUUCCUGCCACAUGAAAAUGCCAACGCCUCAUUUGGGAGAUCUCACGGAGAGCCAGAGAAUGGUGGACACAGCUCAUCUCCUCAAACAUGACCAGAAUGAUUUAAAUACAGCUCAGAAUGAUACUGUUCUUCAGCGUUCUCAGGAAAUGAAGAGUAUUCAGCAGAAGAAAACAAACUAACUCAUCAUGCAAAUGACAAGGUAAUAAAUUAUAUAUAUAUGUGUUUGCACAAAUCAAUUUACAAACAUCACUUAUCCUGAAAGAGUUUUUAAACAAUGCCCAAGAGCUAAUCACUAGGAACUCCACAAGGUGACAUAAAUCCAUGGAUAUUUCUUUUCAUACUGAGUCUCAGAGAUACCUAGGGCUGCUCAAUCAGUCACUCACUCAAAACUGCAAGGAAUUCUGACAGUUUCUGAUAGUUUCCUGAAUGUCUGCUACU